rnacentral:rRNA from 1 species
CCCUUAGAUGCUCUGGGCCGCACGCGCGCUACACUGGUCGAUGCAGCGAGUUUCUUUCCUUGGCCGACAGGCCUGGGCAAUCUUUGAACAUCGAUCGUGAUCGGGAUAGAUUCUUGUAAUUUUUGAUCUUAAACGAGGAAUUCCUAGUAAACGCAAGUCAUCAGCUUGCAUUGAUUACGUCCCUGCCCUUUGUACACACCGCCCGUCGCACCUACCGAUUGAAUGGUCCGGUGAAAUCUCCGGACUGGCGUGAGUCGGAGCAAUCUGACAAACGCCGGAAAGUUGAUUAAACCUUACCAUUUAGAGGAAGGUGAAGUCGUAACA